UGUUUUGUAAAAUCUGCUAUCAUUACUAAACAACAUUAGUUGAUUGUACUAUUUAGCUGAAAGAUUAAUUGCACUAAUCGGGUUUAGUAAAGAUAGCUUGGUAUGUUAAGUUUUAUAAGAAAGGGGAGGGGCUAAUUCAAAAACAUCCCUGGUCACAACACAAGGCCAGCGCAACGGACUCGGAUGGAAGAGCACCAGCAGAGACGGCCUGUCGGCACCCUCACCUGGAAGCAGCUUUACCGAACACCUUGAACGAUCCUUGCGUUGUGAGGAUACUGUGGAAGUGAUUCUUCGAAAGCUUUAUGGUGGACAGAUUCUGCAGGUUCUGCAUGGCAACAAGAGGCGAGAUGCAAGCCAAAG